CCCUUAGAUGUUCUGGGCGGCCCGCGCACUACAUUGGCACUAGCAAAGAGAUCCUAGAUUGAAUUCUUUGGGGUAUUCUUCUAAAUGGUGUCGUGACUGGGAUAAAUCCUUGUAAUUAUUGGUUUUGAACGAGGAAUUCCUUGUAAUCGCGGUUUAUCAGCUCGCGUUGAAUGCGUCCCUGCCCUUUGUACACACCGCCCGUCGCUCCUACCGAUGGAUCGUCCGGUGAAGCUCACGGAGCGACUGUUCACGCAACGGUUUACGAAGUGAAAUGGACCUCACGAUUUAGAGGAAGGAGAAGUCGUAACA
rnacentral:rRNA from 1 species